rnacentral:lncRNA from 1 species
UCUGAGCAUGCAUUACUUUCAUAUAUGGGGAAGAACCCUCUCUGGACUGAGGGUUUUAUGACCGGCAGUCAAACAGGAGUAAACAGAAGAAACCAGCUCUGGAAACAAGUAACAGAUGACUCAUUCCUUCGUUGCCUUGAGCCAAUCAUCUGGGGCCACAACUGGACUCCUCCUCUGGUUUGUUGUCCAGACAUAGCAGCUGACCAACAUUCCUUCCUGAUAACAGACCAUCAACCUGGGAGUGGUUCUGGCCAGUCUAUGGAGGAUGCGCAAUGCAACUCUCCUCCAUGUAAGACAACUUUACAGGACUAUUCUUGUCUGUAGCCUCUCUGAGUAGCCAUCUGAAAAUAUGGCAAAAAGUAUAUUUUAAGCCUGUCACCCAGACUGGAGUGCAGUGUUGCAAUCACAGCUCAACCUCUCAGGCUCAAGUGAUCAACCCAAAGUAGCUGGGACCACAGGUGUGCACCACCAUGUCCUGCUAAUGUUUUUUUCUUAAUUAUUUUGGUGGAGCCAGAGUCUCAUCAUGUUGCUCAGUCUGAUCUCAAAUUCUUGGGCUCAAGGAAUCCACCCCCUGCCUGGCCUCCCAAAUUGUUGGGAUUAUAGGUAUGAGCCACUGCAUCUGGCUUAUUCAAUCUAUUUUUAAGUUCACC